GGUCCAAACAGGCGGUGGGGACUCAGGGUCGGCGAUCUAUUUCUCUUGCCCACGAUCGGGCGUUGGCCAAGCACCAUAACGAAAAGAAGGAGGGGCCACCGCCCACGUGGGAGUCGACUUGGGCGGCAACCCACAGACUACAACCUCCGGAAGUUGCGUCCCGUCUGGAAGCUGCGCAGGAGAGACAUUCACAGGAUCCUGCACCGACACCUCCAACCCAGUUGUUCCCGG